GACAGAGGUGCCAAGCGUUAGGCGGAAUCACUGGGCUUAAAGCGUGUGUAGGCGGAUCGUUAAGUACCUUGUGAAAUCCCACGGCUCAACCGUGGAACUGCUCGGUAUACUGGCGGUCUUGAGCCACCUAGGGGCAACUGGAACAAGCGGUGGAGCGGUGAAAUGCGUAGAUAUCAUUUGGAACGCCAAUGGUGAAAACAGGUAGCUGGGGGUGUGCUGACACUGAGACACGAAAGCCAGGGGAGCAAACGGG
rnacentral:rRNA from 1 species